AUGCGUACUGCGUGGAACCCGGCGAAAUUGGUUGUUUGGAGGAAGAUAAAGGAAAACUUAUUUACUGCCCAGUUUGGAUGUUUGGGGGACUGGAAUAAAGCUAUGAAUGAGGGGCCUUGGUUGUUCAGAGAUCAAGCAGUCAUCAUGGUUGAGUAUGAUGGUUUCAAAAACCCUGAUAGUAUCAAGCUGGACAGGCUGGCGGUGUGGGCACAAAUCCAUCGGCUGCCUGACAAAUUCCUGAUAGAGCCAAUUGUUAGAGGGAUGGCAUCACGUAUUGGAGAAGUGGAGGAAGUGCAACUGAAGUUACCGGCAUGGUUAUUUGGUGAGUUUGUCAGAGUUAGGGUGAAGAUAGAUAUUAAUGCAAAAAUCAGAAGGUUCGUAACUGGAAAGAAGGGAGAUGAGAUGGUAAGAUACCAAGUCAAGUAUGAGAAACUUCCGAUUUUCUGCUAUAACUGUGGCGAGUGUGGACAUUGGCACGAGGAGUGUGGGGAUGGAGUUCACGAUUCAACGAAGUUUGAAUGGGGAGAUUUUGUACUGGCUGAGGGUGUACAUUUCAGGCAAGCUGGGAGAGGUGGCUAUGGCUUUCAGAGAGGAUGA
rnacentral:rRNA from 1 species